GAUGAACGCUGGCGGCGUGCCUAAUACAUGCAAGUCGAGCGAACAGACGAGGAGCUUGCUCCUCUGACGUUAGCGGCGGACGGGUGAGUAACACGUGGAUAACCUCCCUCUAAGACUGGGAUAACUUCGGGAAACCGGAGCUAAUACCGGAUAAUAUAUUGAACCGCAUGGUUCAAUAGUGAAAGACGGUUUUGCUGUCACUUAUAGAUGGAUCCGCGCCGCAUUAGCUAGUUGGUAAGGUAACGGCUUACCAAGGCAACGAUGCGUAGCCGACCUGAGAGGGUGAUCGGCCACACUGGAAGUGAGACACGGUCCAGACUCCUACGGGAGGCAGCAGUAGGGAAUCUUCCGCAAUGGGCGAAAGCCUGACGGAGCAACGCCGCGGGAGUGAUGAAGGUCUUCGGAUCGUAAAACUCUGUUAUUGGGGAAGAACAAAUGUGUAAGUAACUAUGCACGUCUUGACGGUACCUAAACAGAAAGCCACGGCUAACUACGUG
rnacentral:rRNA from 1 species